AUCCAGAUGACGAGUCCCAAAUAAGACGAAAUGUGCAUCCUGGAU
rnacentral:hammerhead_ribozyme from 1 species